rnacentral:tRNA from 1 species
GUUUGAUUAGCAAAGGGGUUAAUGCUCGAAAUUUAGGGUUUUGUAUAGAAGGUUCGAGUCCUUCAUCUAAUU